rnacentral:rRNA from 1 species
GACGAACGCUGGCGGCGUGCUUAACACAUGCAAGUCUACGAGAAUAAGGUAGCAAUAUCUUUAGUAAAGUGGCGCAAGGGUGAGUAAUAUGUAAGUAAUCUACCUAUAGGUUUGGAAUAACUCUUCGAAAGAGGGGAUAAUACCAAAUAAUGCAGCGGCAUCACAUGAUGAUGUUGUUAAAGUCUACGGGAUGCCUAUAGAUGAGCUUGCAGCCGAUUAGCUAGUUGGUAGGGUAAUGGCCUACCAAGGCAACGAUCGGUAGCUGGUCUGAGAGGAUGAUCAGCCACACUGGAACUGAGACACGGUCCAGACUCCUACGGGAGGCUG